rnacentral:rRNA from 1 species
CAGUCCCGCGGUAAUACGUAGGUGGCAAGCGUUGUCCGGAAUUAUUGGGCGUAAAGGGCUCGCAGGCGGUUUCUUAAGUCUGAUGUGAAAGCCCCCGGCUCAACCGGGGAGGGUCAUUGGAAACUGGGAGACUUGAGUGCAGAAGAGGAGAGUGGAAUUCCACGUGUAGCGGUGAAAUGCGUAGAGAUGUGGGGGAACACCAGUGGCGAAGGCGACUCUCUGGUCCGUAACUGACGCUGAGGAGCGAAAGCGUGGGGAGCGAACAGGAUUAGAUACCCCCGUAGUCCCUGUCUCUUAUACA